AAAUGAAUUGACGGGGACCCGCACAAGCGGUGGAGCGCGAGGCUUAAUUCGUCGCUAAACGAAAAACCUUACCGAGGCUAGAAAUCCAGCUGCACGCCCUGGGAAACCAGGGAAGCUUUCGAAGGUGCUGGACAGGUGAUGCAUGGCUGUCGUCAGUUCGUGGCUUGAGCUGUUCCCUUAAGUGGGGAAACGAACGCAACCCUCGUUGCCUGUUAUAAGUGUCAGGCGAGACUGCUCCCUCACGGGAGAGGAAGGUGAGGAUGACGCCAAGUCAGCAUGUCCCUUGAUGCCUCGGGCUGCACUCACGCUACAAUGGUACGCACAACAGGACGCAAUACCGUAAGGUGGAGCCAAUCCUUAUAAAACGUGCCCCAGUUCGGAUUGAGGUCUGCAACUCGACCUCAUGAAGUCGGAAUCGCUAGUAAUCGCGGAUCAGCAUGCCGCGGUGAAUACGUUCUCGGGUCUUGUACACACCGCCCGU
rnacentral:rRNA from 1 species